AAAGCUUUGUGGAUUAUCUUGGAAAGAGAUCCUCUACGCCUGGUCAAUCCUUGAGCUGACUGCAAACUUUAUGAGACCUUCAGCUAGGAAUACCCAGCUUAGCCACAUUUCUGGGAUGGGGUUGUAGCUUUUGGAGUGCUUGUCCUGUAAGCAUAGGGCUGCGGAUUCUAUCACCAACAAUCAGUGAACCCAGCAUAGAAGUGGAUGCCUAGAUCUUGGCAUGAAGGAGAAUCAGGAAUUCAAGGACAAAUCUGAGAGCAGCCUGGGUGUGGGUGGAUUCUUUAGGCCACUGAACAUCUGGUUAUUUAUUACAUGGCCUAAGUAACUAUUAGACAAGGUAAAGGAGAAAAUAGGGGGCACACAUGUGAGGGUUACUGUAGCUUUUCUGUAAAUUUCAAAAUAAAAUGUUAAAAAUAAA
rnacentral:lncRNA from 1 species